GGGGAAUCUUGCACAAUGGAGGAAACUGUGAUGCAGCGAUGCCGCGUGAGUGAAGAAGGCCUUUGGGUUGUAAAGCUCUUUCGUCGGGGAAGAAAAUGACUGUACCMGAAUAAGAAGGUCCGGCUAACUUCGUGCCAGCAGCCGCGGUAAUACGAAGGGACCUAGCGUAUUCGGAAUUACUGGGCUUAAAGAGUUCGUAGGUGGUUGAAAAAGUUAGUGGUGAAAUCCCAGAGCUUAACUCUGGAACUGCCAUUAAAACUUUUUAGCUAGAGUAUGAUAGAGGAAAGCAGAAUUUCUAGUGUGGAGGUGAAAUUCGUAGAUAUUAGAAAGAAUACCAAUUGCGAAGGCAGCUUUCUGGAUCAUUACUGACACUGAGGAACGAAAGCRUGGGUAGCGAAGAGGAUUAGAUACCCUCGUAGUCCAUGCCGUAAACGAUGUGUGUUAGACGUUGGAAAUUCAUUUUCAGUGUCGCAGCGAAAGCG
rnacentral:rRNA from 1 species